GAUGAACGCUGGCGGCGUGCCUAAUACAUGCAAGUCGAGCGAAAAGACGAGGCACUUGCUCCUCUCGCUUUCGCGGCGGACAGGUGUGUAACACGUGGAUAACCUACCUAUAAGACUGGGAUAACUUAGGGAAACCGGAGCUAAUACCGGCUAAUCUAUUGAACCGCAAGGUUCAAUAGUGACAGACGGUUUUGCUGUCACUUAUCGAUGGAUCCGCGCCGCAUUAGCUAGUUGGUCAGGUAACGGCUUACCAAGGCCACGAUGCGUAGCCGACCUGAGCGGGUUAUCGGCCACACUGGAACUGAGACACGGUCCAGACUCCUACGGGAGGCAGCAGUAGGGAAUCUUCCGCAAUGGGCGAAAGCCUGACGGAGCAACGCCGCGUGAUUGAUGAAGGUCUUCGGAUCGUAAAACUCUGUUAUUAGGGAAGAACAAAUGUGUAAUUAACUAUUCACGUCUUGACGGUACCUAAUCAGAAAGCCACGGCUAACUACGUG
rnacentral:rRNA from 1 species